rnacentral:rRNA from 1 species
UACGUAGGGGGCGAGCGUUAUCCGGAUUCACUGGGUGUAAAGGGAGCGUAGACGGCCAUGCAAGCCAGGGGUGAAAGCCCGGGGCCCAACCCCGGGACUGCCCUUGGAACUGCAUGGCUGGAGUGCGGGAGGGGCAGGCGGAAUUCCUGGUGUAGCGGUGAAAUGCGUAGAUAUUAGGAGGAACACCAGUGGCGAAGGCGGCUUACUGGACUGUAACUGACACUGAGGCUCGAAAGCGUGGGGAGCAAACAGG